rnacentral:rRNA from 1 species
UCCACAUACGCAUCCUUUGCUGAGGAUACGGUUAACGGAGCGCAAGCGACGUUCAACCUCAAAAGAAGCAGAGGGGGCUUAGUGGUGGGGUGACUGCGUACCUUUUGUAUAAUGGGUCAGCGACUUAUAUUCUGUAGCAAGGUUAACCGAAUAGGGGAGCCGGAGGGAAACCGAGUCUUAACCGGGCGUUAAGUUGCAGGGUAUAGACCCGAAACCCGGUGAUCUAGCCAUGGGCAGGUUGAAGGUUGGGUAACACUAACUGGAGGACCGAACCGACUAAUGUUGAAAAAUUAGCGGAUGACCUGUGGCUGGGGGUGAAAGGCCAAUCAAACCGGGAGAUAGCUGGUUCUCCCCGAAAGCUAUUUAGGUAGCGCCUCGUGAAUUCAUCUCCGGGGGUAGAGCACUGUUUCGGCUAGGGGGCCAUCCCGGCUUACCAACCCGAUGCAAACUGCGAAUACCGGAGAAUGUUAUCACGGGAGACACACGGCGGGUGCUAACGUCCGUCGUGAAGAGGGAAACAACCCAGACCGCCAGCUAAGGUCCCAAAGUCAUGGUUAAGUGGGAAACGAUGUGGGAAGGCCCAGACAGCCAGGAUGUUGGCUUAGAAGCAGCCAUCAUUUAAAGAAAGCGUAAUAGCUCACUGGUCGAGUCGGCCUGCGCGGAAGAUGUAACGGGGCUAAACCAUGCACCGAAGCUGCGGCAGCGACACUCAGGUGUUGUUGGGUAGGGGAGCGUUCUGUAAGCCUGCGAAGGUGGCCUGUGAGGGUUGCUGGAGGUAUCAGAAGUGCGAAUGCUGACAUAAGUAACGAUAAAGCGGGUGAAAAGCCCGCUCGCCGGAAGACCAAGGGUUCCUGUCCAACGUUAAUCGGGGCAGGGUGAGUCGACCCCUAAGGCGAGGCCGAAAGGCGUAGUCGAUGGGAAACGGGUUAAUAUUCCCGUACUUGGUGUUACUGCGAAGGGGGGACGGAGAAGGCUAUGUUGGCCGGGCGACGGUU